rnacentral:rRNA from 1 species
GUGAGGAAUAUUGGUCAAUGGGCGGGAGCCUGAACCAGCCAAGUCGCGUGAAGGAAGAAGGAUCUAUGGUUCGUAAACUUCUUUUGCAGGGGAAUAAAGUGCAGGACGUGUCCUGUUUUGUAUGUACCCUGAGAAUAAGGAUCGGCUAACUCCGUGCCAGCAGCCGCGGUAAUACGGAGGAUCCGAGCGUUAUCCGGAUUUAUUGGGUUUAACGGGUGCGUAGGUGGUUUGAUAAGUCAGCGGUGAAAGUUUGCAGCUUAACUGUAAAAAUGCCGUUGAAACUGUCGGACUUGAGUGUAAAUGAGGUAGGCGGAAUGCGUGGUGUAGCGGUGAAAUGCAUAGAUAUCACGCAGAACUCCGAUUGCGAAGGCAGCUUACUAAGCUACAACUGACACUGAAGCACGAAAGCGUGGGGAUCAAACAGGAUUAGAUACCCGGGUAGUCC